CCGACAGCCACCAUCUGUAUAUGUCUGUACUCUGGGCAGCGUCUUUCCUGGCUUCCAAGGGUCUCUGAUAGCAGAAGUGCAACUGGGUGACACGGCACAUCCUUGGGAUUCUCACACAGCCCUGCGAGUCCCACAUGGAUAGAAGAAUUGACAGCGCCUUCCUCCAGGGCCUGAUUAUUUGAAGUUUCUCAACAGCUAUUUAAAAGACAUUGAGUGGCCCUGAGACCAUGGCCUGCACAGCCAUGUGCUUCCUGCAUGACUCCAACCAGCCCUGAGGAUACCCAUGCCGCUUUGGGACCUUGGCCGGUGCAGCCAUGUGCUUCCUGUGUGACUCCUGCUGGCCCUGGGGAAUGCAUGCUGCCCUUGGACCUUCGGCUGCACAGAUGUGCGCUUCCUGCAUGACUCCAGCUGGCACUGAGGAAUGCCAUGCUGACCUGGGACCUUGGCUCAUGCCCGGGCCAAGGACAUCUGCUGGCCCCUCGGGGACACUCCCUACCUCCUGGACAUAAUACUGCUGUUGAUCUUCAGCACCCACCCUUUCUCCCAGAACCUUGGACUACAGAGGAUUAACUGUGUGGCUUGAAGGGAGAUUCAGUAACUGCCUCACACAAACAUAUGAUCUCAACAGGCUCCAGUCAGUGUGGUGAGUAUGCCCCUGAAAUAGAGGCAUAAGUGGGUAAAUAGGACCUGUAGUAAGGCUUCCUCUGACUAAUUGUAAGAUCUUGGUGAAUCUGAGAAGAGUGUGGGUGACUCCUAGCUGCACACAGAAAACAUUAGGCAGGAUGAGGAGUGUGCCAAUAAGGACUCCCCCCAACAUGGAGAAAAUCAAAAGGGCUCAUGAGACACACAGGCACACAGUAGGGACACAGGAGGGCCUCAGCUAAAGUAAACAUUAUAGACAUGGAGAUUUGGUGACCUGGAAUAACCUGAAGAUAAAAUAAUAGCAGGAACUAAAAGUUGACCUACAAAACUCAGGAAGAAUACAGGACUCAUCCAACAGGCCCUGCAGUGGGAAGACAACUGACUGGCUCAUCUAUUCAUUGUGGGACCCAGCAAUUGGACAAACAUCAACCUUACAUUAGGACCUCAAGAUACACACUACCAACAGUUGACACAAGUGGGAUUGAAGGACCAAAUAUUAACUCAGAAAGGGAAAAUGGCAAAAUGAAAAAGCAAAAUGCAAUUUCAAACAUCUAGUCCACCAGGAGCAAGUACAGGAGACAUUGAAAUAGAGGAUUUCAAAAGUAACACCGUGGGAAUCUCUGGAAAGAUAAUAAGUGAAAUAAAAAAAUCAAUGAGGCUAUAGAGGAAAUCAAAUUAGAAGUACCCUCCCAUGAAAGAUAGAAAUAACAACCUUGGUAAAGGAGUUGCUGAGCACAGCUAAAGAAGAAAUAGAGAAAACGUACAGGAACAUGAGAAACUGAUUGAAACCUUGAAUGAACAAUAUAGAAAACAAGCAGAAUUCAUGAAACAAACUCAAAGACACGUCCAAGAAACAAAAAAUUCUAUUCAAAGCUGGUAAAACUGUUUAAAUGAAGCUGAGGACAGGAUUUCAGACCUUGAGGAUGGGAUCACAAUUAGUGAUCAUGAAAACAUAGAACUUUUAAAAAUAACAAAGCAGCCUGAAAUGACAAUCCAGCAGCUUCAAAAUAAUGCCAAGAUAAACAAUACAAUAUUAAUAGGCAUCAGUGAAAAUGUAGGAGGCAAUACAAAUGACAUAACUAAACUAUUCACAGAAGUAAUAGCAGAAAAUUUCCCACACAUGGGGAAAAAUAUGAUAUGCAGAUAAGUGAGGCAUAUAGAACACCAGUCACAACCAAUGUAAACCUACACCCAGACAUAUAAUAAUUAAGAUCCCAGACAUGCAGCAUAAAAAGAGAAUACUAAAAGCUGUUAGAAAAGACACAACUCACCUAUCAAACAAAGCCCAUUAGAAUCAUAGUACAUUUUUUAGCACGAACUCUCAAGUCAAGACAAGCUUGGAGUGAGGUAUUUCAAGCCCUGAAAAAACACAACUUUUAACCCAAACUGAUACACUCAGAAAAUCUUUCAUUCAAAUUUAGUGGAGAAACAAGACAAUUCCAUGACAAAGAACAACUGAUGAAAUUCACAUCAAACAAACCAACCCUAGAGAGUAUUGAAAGACAUACUAGAUAGAGAUAAAAAUGACCACAAUCCCAGAACAAUAACAGAAAGUGUAGUUGAAAAGGAAGGAUAGAGAAAUUCACUUUCAUUAAAUAAAUAUGAGGUGUGAUAAAAAUAUUGUUUUACAUGAUAUGUGUAUGCAUCAAUUCUCUAGCAUGAAUAUAAUUAUGAAUUACAAACAUAUACUACUAAUAAAGAGUUUCAGAAAAUAUUACAUUAAAGGCACAUUGCCAUUAAUCCUCCUCAAGACACCCCUUGUUUCAAACACACUUAUCUCACUGUUCAUGCCAUUUUCUGAAGCAGUUUUAGAAAUUCUCUUUCAUGAGCCUUUUUAUGCUAUCUGCCAAGUGCCGUUCAACAGAAAGGCAGCCUCAUAAAUGUUUUUGACUCAAGACAACAAUAUAGUCACAACAGUGCAAAUCAAAAAGACAUUCAAGAAAGAGGACUUCCACAACUGCUUCAGAAAGUGGCAAGAAUGAAGGGAUAAGUGUGUUUGAGGUGAGAGGAGGAUCCUGAGAGGAUAUAAAUAUAUAUGUACCAAAUACAGGCGCACCCAACUAUAUAAGACAGAUACUAAUGGACAUGAAAAACCAAAUACACAAAACACAAUUAUAACAGGAGACUGUAACAGCCCAUUGUCACAAAGAGAUAGAUCAAUUGGACAAAAAAUCAGCAAAGAAAUAACACAACUGGAUCAUAUCUGUGAAAAAUUGGACUUAAUAGAUGUUACAGAGUAUUCCACUCAGUCACAUCAGAAUACACAUUCUUCUCAGCUGCACAUGGGACAUUCUCCAAAAUAGAUCAUAUAUCAUCCCAUAAAACUUUCUUAACUGCAAAGGUAUUGAAAUUAUCCCAUGCAUAAUAUCUGACCAUAGCACACUGAAAUUGGAAACUAAUGGCAAAAUAAAUCACAAAGCCAGCAUAAAUACGUGGAAAUUAAAUAACAAACUUUUGAACAACCAAUGGGCUACAGAUGAAAUUAAAGAAGAAAUAAAGCAAUGCCUGCAAUUCAAUGAAAAUGUGGAAACAAUAUACUGUAAUCUGUGGGAUGCAAUGAAAGUGGUCUUAAGAGGGAAAUAUAUAACAAUAGAUUGUCAUAUCAAAAAAACAGAAUGAGCACAAAUAAACAAUCUAAUGCUUCAUCUCAAGCUUCUAGAAAAAGAAGAGCAAGUUAAACCCUAAGCUCAUAGAAUAGAGGAAACUGUAAAGAUUACAGCAGAAAUCAAUGCAAUUGAAACUAAAAAAAUACAAAGAAUUAAUGAAUCAAAAAGCUGAUUUUUUGAGAGAAUAAACAAAAUUGACAAACCUUUAGCUAACCCUAUAAAGGAAAAACCCAAAUUCAUGAAAUAAGGACUGAACAGGGAGAAAUUACUACAGAUUCCAUGAAAAUUCAAAAGAUCAUGCAUACCUACUUUGAAAAUCUCUACUCACAUCAAGUAGAAAACAUAGAGAAAAUGGACAGAUUUCUAGAAACAUACGAACUACCAAAGCCCAACCAAGAAGAUAUAGCAAUUUUGAAUAACCCAAUAUCAGCUAUUGAAACUGAAAACCUAAUUAAAAACUUACCAACAAAGAAAAGCCCAGGUCUUGAUGGAUUUGUGGCUGAAUUCUACAAAAAAUUUAGAGACAAUUUGAUGCCAAUAUUCCUUAAACUCUUCAAUGAAAUUUAAAAGGAAGCAAUCCUCCCUAAAUCAUUCCUAGAGGCAAGUAUUACUCUCAUACCAAAACCAGAAAAAGACCCCACCAGAAAGGAGAACUAUAGGCCAAUCUCACUAAUGAACACUGAUGCAAAAAUUCUCAGUAAAAUAAAAUGGCAAAUAAAAUGCAGCAAAUCAUCAAGAAGAUUAUACAUCAUGACCGAGUGGGAUUUUUUCCAGGAAUGCAGGCGUGGUUUAACAUAUGCAAAUCAAUAAAUGUAAUACACCACAUCAACAGAGCCAAAAACAAAAACCACAUCGUCAUCACAAUAGAUGCAGAACAAGCUUUCGAUAAAGUGCAACACACGUUAAUGAUAAAAACCCUUCAGAAACUAGGAAUACAUGUGUCUACCUCAAUCAUAUAAAGGCCAUCUGUGUCAAACCAACAGCCAACAUUGUACUAAGCUUUCACUUUAAAAUCAAGAACAAGAAAAGGAUGUCCACUCUCACCACUCCUAUUAAGUAUAGUUCUGGAAACACUAGCCAGGGCAACCAGACAAGAGAGAGAAAUAAAAGGGAUAAAGAUAGGAAAGGAAAAAGUUAAAUUAUCACUAUUUGCAGAUGUUGUGAUACUCUGUAUAGAAGACCCAAAAGAUACCAUUAAAAGACUGCUAGAAAUAAUAAACAAAUUCAGCAGUGUAGCUGGAUACAAAGUCAACACUCAAAAAUCAAUAGCAUUCCUGUACACAAACAAAAACUCACUGAGAGAGAAAUUAGGAAAUAUCGUCCUUCACAAUAGCAUCUAAAAAAAUGAAAUACUUAGGAAUCAACCUAAGAAUGUAAAAGACCUAUAUGCUGAAAAUUAUGCUGUGCUUAAAACGGAGACUGAAGAGGAUAUUCGAAAAUGAAAAAAUAUUCCUUGCUCUUGACUAGGAAGAACCAACAUUGUGAAAAUCGCUAUACUUCCAAAACUGUUAUACAGAUUUAAUGCAAUCCCAAUCAAAAUACUAUUAACAAUGUCACAGAUCUAGAGAAAACACUCCUAAAAUUCAUUUGGAAACAGAAGAAACCUAGAAUAGCAAAGGCAAUUCUGGGCAACAAAGGCAGGCAGGAGGCAUCUCAAUUCCUGACUUGAAACUAUACUACAAAGCCACAGUGAUAAAAUCAGCAUGGUACUGGCAAAGAAACAAACCUGAGCAUCAGUGGAACAGAUUAGAAGAUGCAAGCCCAACUACAAAACACUCAGCUACCUGAUAUUUGACAAAGGGACUAAACAUGUCCACUGGAAGAAGGAUAGCCUUUUUAAUACAUGGUGUUUGAAAAAUUGGCUCUCCACAUGCUGAAGACUGAAACUAGAUCCAAGCCUAACACCAUGCACAAAACUAAAGUGUAAAUGGAUCAAAGACCUAAAUAUUAAAACAGAAACACUAAAUCUACUUGGAGACAAGGUAGAUAGAAGUCUUGGAGACAUAAGGGUAGGCAGAGUAUUCAUGAACAAAAUGCAAACUGCACAGGUAAGACUUCAAAGAAUCAACAACUGGGAUCUCAUAUUAUUGAAAUGUUUUUGCACUUCAAAAUAAGUCACCAAUAGAGUGAAAAGAAAACCCACAGAAUGGGAAAGAAUUUUAGUCAGUAACCCCAGACAAAGGACUCAUAUCCAGAACAUACAAAGAAUUGAAAACUAUCAAACCCCCAAAUUCAAAGGUCCUCUCCAAAAAUGGGAACCUGAGAUAAACACACAGUUCUCAGAUGAAGAUAUACAAAUGGCAAGUAAAUACAUGAAGAAAUGGUCACCAUCACUGGUCAUUCGAGAAAUGCAGAUUAAAACAGCAUUAAGAUUUCAUGUCACUCAGGAAAGAAUGGCUGCCAUCAAGAAAUCAACUGAUAACAAAUGUUGGCGAGGCUGCGGGGGAAAAUGGAACACUGCUCCACUGUUGGUGGGAGUGUAGACUGGUGCAACCACUAUGGAAAUCAGUAUGGAGAAUUCUCAGAAGACUAGGAUUGGAUGUUCCAUUAAUCCAGCUAUUCCCUUCCUGGGUAUUUCCCAGAAAAACUGAAAAGGUCAUAUCACAGUGAUAUAUGUGACAUAUGUGCACCCAUGUUCAUAGCAACACAAUUUGUAAAUCUUGGAAACAACCAAGAUACACAUCAACCACAGAGUGGAUGAAAAAGAUGUGGUAUUUAUAUGCAAUGGAAUAUUACCUUGCCAAAAAAGGAUGAUCUUGAGGCCUUAUAGGCAAAUGGAGACAACUUGAGACUAUCCUCAUUAGUGAAAUAAAUAAGAAUCAUAUUUAUAAUAUCACAUUGUGUCUCUAGUGCAAAAGUAUUAAGAACUGUAGGGAGUAAUAAAACCUAAAAUGUGUAAUUGCUAUUGUAAAAAAGAGAAGAAAAGAAAGUGCUCUGAAGGAUAUAACUGCAUGUAUGUUUAAGUAUGUAGGAUUGAUAAAUAUAUUAUUAAGUUUUUGUUGGAUCAUUGAACAGAACAGUUUGCAGUCUCGCUGUCUGAAUGUCUACUUUGUAUGCUUUACUUUUGUAACUUGAACAACCAUUUCUAAGAGGACAAUAUGUAAUUUAUCAACUAGUGAUUUCUUACUGUUUAUUUUUUUUGAAAUUAUGUAUUAUUUUUACCCUUUUUUCUGUUUUGUUUUUUUUUUCUAUUUAAAAAUAUUAAAGGUAAUUCUUUAAUUGAAAAAAAAAAGACAUUGAGUAUAAUACUGCAUUCACAUCAAUAUAUUAGUUAAUGCCUACAUAUGUAGGUAUUUUUUGAAGACUCUGUGACCUUUUCAUGGAUUCAUUUUUCAUUAAGACAUGACGUUUCUGGAAUAAUAUUUUCAUUAUUUGACAUUAACUGGGGAUAUAUAAUAAUAGAAAAUUAAUUCAAAUUGCAAUUAUCUAUAUUUUACCCAGCACCUUCUUCCCACAUGUCUCAGUUCUCUGACUGGUUGCAUCCAUGUUUGAUGACAUCAUAGGAAGGGAUGAUGUCACAUUUUCAAUAUUAUGACUUCAGUGUAGGCUUUAGCAAAAGGAACAGAUGGCUGCAAGAGAGAAAAACCCUUGCUUAAAUUAGACUAACGCCAGAACUUGGCUUUGCAUUGUAAAGUGUAAUUAAAACGUUAUUUUAAAAUACAUUUCACAGUUUAUACAUCCUAGGGAGAGCUUUUUACCACAUGAACUUUCCAGCUGCCACACAGCACAAAGGAGGUUGGGUUUUUCAUGUAGGGCGAUCCGCAGUUCAGGGGAUGACGGUAUUGAAGAAAGCAAAGAUAAAUCUCAUAGACACAGCAAUCCGAUUUGUUAAAAUGUCACAUUUCACACGAAUGGUGUCAGAGUCAUGAAAAAUUGCUAUAGAAAAAAAAUUACUGGUGGAAGGUUUCAGUGAGAAUAUCCUGGGUAGAAAAACAUGACCAGUGACUUUGGCCUUCACACUGCCAGGCUUGCCCAGCCUAGAAUGUCUUUGUUAGAGUGCACAACAAAUACCAAUUUCCAUCAUAAUGUAGUUGCAUUUUACCGGCACUGUUUGUGCCUGUGAAGAAGUUUUGGUGCAUUUCAGUUUGCCAAUUGUUUGCCUGGUUUCUUUUCACUCUUUGUUUCUGUCUCUGCCUCUGUCUCUUUUAGUUUCUUAUUCUCUCUUUUCCUUUUUAAGUAAACUCUACAUUGAGAGGAAAUACAUAGUAAGUAUUAAUAGGGAGGGGAAUUGGCACAGCACUUUAAGGGUUAAAAUAAUUUUUCUUACCCGUUUGGCAUAUGAGUAAACCGACUUGGAGGUUUUUGUCACUUUGAAAGUCAUACAGCCAUACUCUAUUUGCUGGUGUCAGAACUUGAAACCAGGCAACCUGACUCCAGUAUCCUGUACUCCUCUACUGUCCCCCAUAGGCAUAAAAUCUACACUGCAUUAAUGAAAGAACACUGUAGUUGUUGCCAGUGUCAUCACACAACUUCAACCUCAAAUAAAUCCAAGGUUUGUGUCAGUGAGUACUUUUUACAAAAUGAUGUAUAUUUAUGGAAAAUUUACUACUUGUAUCCCCAUAUAGAUGUAAGUGGCCAUAAAGAUGUGUUUAAAAGAGUAGAUUUUUGAAAAUUUAUUAUUUUUUUUAUCUUCUGUGGUAGUAAAAGCAGAGAACAUGUCUGUGGACAACAGUAUCUGGAGACAGGAAGUGUUACUAGUAAAUAUUUUCUUAUUAAAAUUUCUCUUUUGCUUAUUAGGCCUCUUCUUCAUUGCCUGAACUAAUGUCUUUAAUGUUUCAUUCUGGUUGAAUCUGAGGCAAAAUGAUUGAAAUCACUUGUUUUUACUACUACACAUUAGAUGCAUAUUACACAAUGCACACUCAUGAUUAUCAAUUCAUUUCAUGUAUUACAUAGAUAAAGCAGACAUACACAUAUUCCUAACAAGAAACUAUUAAGAAAUAUAGUGUGAUGUUUGUAAGAUUCUAAAUGUUAUAAACCACUGCAUGUGUACAACAUUCCAAUUACUCUUCAAAAAAUGCUACUGUACUACUUAAUGAUAUAAAGAUGUUUUUGUUCAAUUUCCAUUUUCUAAACAUUUGCUUGGAAUUGUUUUGAAUGAUACCACAUUAAUUCACAAGUAUUUAUAGGGAUUAAAAUUGCACAGAUCCAAGGAAACUGCAUAAUUAUUUUUGUAGCUUUUCAAAGACAACCUUAAAGUUGACAGUUGCCAUAAUUAUAAUUAAAUAAUUAUUUUGUGAACUGAGAGUGGAAUAUUCUUCUGGAUAUGACCCAGUAUACACAGUAAUUAGCCAUUCAAAAAUUUGUUAAAUGAAUCGAUGUUCCACUCUUAAUUCAUUAAUUAAGAACAUGGAAGAAAAGUAUCAAAAUUUUAUCCUCUUAAGAUCUGGGCCAAUUUGGCUUAAAUAAUCAGAGGCCAGGAGAAUAAAAUGCAUGAUUGGCCCAUUGUCUGAUUUUUCCAUUUUUAUCUUCCAGAUACCCUUGGGUCUAAUUCAUUUACCUUCCACAGGAAGCAAUUUUCAAAGAGAGUAAUAUAUUGUUUUCCUGCACUUAAUUAUUGUGCCCCUAAUCAAACUCUGGCCCCUGGAUAGUCAUCAAAGCCUUUUGGCUUGUUAAAUGGCUAUCCAAAAACAAAAUAAACAAAGUAAAUCAAAAAAGAUUUAGCCAUCGCACCUGUUCAAGGCUAUCCAGGAAAUUCAAAAGUUUAAUUAGCAACUGGCACCCCAAAAAUCCACCAGCCAAGUUGUUUUACCCAGCUUUCAAUGGUAAUGAAUAAAUGUCCUUGCCCUAAAACUAUUUAAAGCUACCUUAAUAGUGAGAUUAGGGGCAAAGAUAAAUGCCAAAAAGAUGAUCUGAAGGGUGUUUUCUUUUUCCUUUUGAUACUGUGGACUGAACCCGGGAGCACUCUACGGCUGAGCUACAUCCUCAAUCCUCACCCUUUUACAAUUUUGAGACACGUGGUCUCGCCAAGUUGCCCAGGCUGUCCUUGAACUUGUGAUCCUCUUGCCUCAGUCUCCUGAGUUGCUGGAAUUCUCAGUACGCACUAUCAUGCCUGACCCUGAGAGGUGUUUUCCUAAUCACAUAUAGGCUGCAUCAGAGAAGGGCCAGGGUGAUGCUGUCGGUACCUGCCACCUGGAAAUGUAAAUAGAAGUUUAACAGGUAAUAAACUACUGUAAAUGAUUAAAUGUUGAAAGUUUUGUGGAUUAAAUGUCCAAACAAAGACAGAAGGGACCAUUGCUAUUUCCCAAUAAAUGUUGACUUUGGGUGGCUGUAACUGUCAAGGGCACCCCCACUGAUAUCCCCGAGGGUUAAAUUCACAGCAGUCAACCAUUCUUCAAAAGGCCUCUGUUUCUUAAGGGGAACAGAUGGUUAGGGGAGGGCCUGGACACAGAAGCAGAUUUAUCUUGUCAAGCUGUUAUCUCUUGGUAAAGGACCUUAAGCAGUUCAAUGACAACAGUGUGGUUCCCAGGUCUCUGAAGGUGAUGGCCAUUCAUUAACUGUUUCCCUCUAGCAUCAGGACUGUCCCUUCUGGAUAACUGCAUAGCCAGUUGUUGUAUUGGUAGUGGUGGUGUGUGUGCACAUGUGUGCUGGGCGGUGCAAAUCCUAAUAAAGAUUUUAUAAAAUUUUGGAAAUAUUUAAUUGCUUCAAUAUGACUAUGAAGAUACUGAAAUAUUUUAUUUUUGAGUUCUCAAAGAUGAUAAGAAAUGCUACUUUAAAGGGGAAACAUGAAUCAAUUUUUCAGGAAUACCAGACUGAGAAUUCAUCCUGCUUGGAUUUAAAACCCACAUUACUUGCAUCACUCUGCUUAGAUAGAUAUUAUUCUUUUUUUUUUGAUAGAUUUUAUUCUGUCCCAGUUUGUCUACUUGCAUUAGAUUAGAAGGCACAGACAGCUAUCCCCAAAACAUCAGAAUAUAGCACAGUAAUCAUCUUUAAUUUCCUAUUAUCUUAAUCUGGAGCGCUGUGUGACUUACACUGUUUUAUCAUGACUGAUCUUAGUUAAAUCUGGUUUGUUUGAUUGCUGUUUGGUAUCAACAGAUUUUAUUUAAAACUGAUAUGAUUGAUAGUAUCAAGUCUGAGAGUACAGGCAACCUCACUGAAGAUGACAAGACUCUACGAUACACAUUCUGGUUUGAUAACUGCCUGCUUUCAAAGUUUUAUACUAUAUACAAAGUUGUGUUUUUAUUAAUACUGUUAUGUACUGAUAUAUUCAAUUAUACUAUGUCUGAUGAUAUAGCCAAUUCUAUUGACGAUAAUAAGAGACAACACAGGAACUAUGGUAGAACUCCUUGUACAAUGGUCUUAUAUGUCUUUUUUGUUUCACGUGUUUAUAGGAAUAUAUUUUGUUUUGUUUUGCUUUGUUUUCUUUCUCCCUCUAAUAUAGAAAGGAUAGAAAUACAUGUUAAGACUCAUGCAUGUGUAGAAUCUAUAAACAGUUUAUGAGAACUGAUUUUAUGACACAUGAUGAAAUGAACAGAUACUUUGAAGAAAAA